CUUAGUUAAGUCACUCCCACUAUGCAAGUUCGAGUAGGGGUUCAAGAACAACCUCACAAUGAUAUGAUGUUGAUCAUUCUCGUUGCCUACCUUCACAACAUCAUGUAUGCAUAUAGAACUCCUCUUGAGUGUAAGCACGCACUUUGUACUCCCCCAUGAUAGGGUGAAGUCGGUGUACGAGUCACAAACAAUUGGAGCUUACCACGAUGGAAGGCCAUGAAAGAGUGUUCAAAGCACUCUCGCGCUUAUCAACUUAAUAAUGGUUUGGUUGAGGGUUUUAGGUCUCAUCACAUAUAAGCAUGCAUUUUAAUCUUAUUAAAACAAUUUGGUCCUAUUACAACUAUUGGUCCAUGUGAUUGAUUUAGUUGUAUAUAAUACUCCCACUAUGCUUGUAAAAUGGUUUUUAAAGCAAGAGUAUAUGGUACUACUAGCAUAAGGUUUGCAUUCAUUGAUGGACUAUAUAGUUGCCUUAGGGCCUUAGGAUCUAUGAACCUUUGAUUCGAUCCAACACGAGCCUAGUGUUGAAUCUCGGUCUAGGGAUGGUGAUUGAUUUUAGUUAUUCGUUUAAUCAUAUUAAGGCGUCUUUUUCCUAUUGGGCGUUGGACCCAACUACUCCAAUUUCAUGCAUAUCAAAUAAAACAAGAAAUGAGUACUUCAAAGUAAAGAAGAGCUUAUGCUCUUUUACAACAUUUGAUCAUAUCAAAUUACAACCAAAAUCUAAUCUACACAUUCCCAUGGUUCAAACAAAUUUGAGACAGCCUUUCACAUAGUUCAAUUAUCGUAGGCUUAGGUUCAUAAUCACCCUUUCUUUAAUUAAUUAACGCUUUAACUAAUUAAACUUGAAUGCAAAAUUUUCAUUUGGUUUUUGUUUCCAUAGAAUUGAUUUAAAUGGAGCUAAAUG
rnacentral:lncRNA from 1 species